GUCCAGCCGACAGGUGGGCCCCACCCAGCUGUCUUCCACCUCCAGUUGGUCUCCCGACCGAGAACGCAACCCGCGCGCGUAUCCUGCGCAUGAUCUCACCGAUCCCUCCGAUCCGUCUGCGAUUCGCUCGCAUACGCACAACCCCGAACAGCCGUCGAUCUCCUCUCUCGAUCCCUUGCCUUGCCUCGCACAACCGAGCAGGGAAUCGAGCGCAGCGACCUUGCGGAUCUUCGCCUCGUCGCCGGUACUUCAUCGACGAAAUUCGUCGCCGCCUAUGCUCGGGUUCGAGCUCCCCAGCCAACCCGAUCUCGUCGGAGCUCCCAUCGCCAGCAGCCCCUCCGCCGGCGAAUUUGGCGCCACCAAGGGAGAGAAUCAAACCUAGCACGCCGAGCUUGCCCGGAGCAAAUCACCGCCACCCGUCGCUCCACCCGUACACUGUCAUCGCCUGACGACGCCCCGUCGUCACUGACCUCACAACCUUCUUCUCCGUCACUCUGCGCACCUGCUGGUCCACCCUCCCAGUCGCCUUGGUCCACCGGAGAGGCCACACCGAGAAACGCCAUAGCCACACCGACAUCGGAGCUCCAAACGCCACUGCAGCGCUAGCAGAGGACGCUCACAUCUCCGUCGAAGCUACCAUCGUCUCCGUCAUCGCAAGCUGCAUCCGCCCGUCACCUCAUCUUCGCCGGAGAGCCACCGGAGGAGCGCCGCCACCCACGCCCGAAGCCGUCGCCGUUUUCCCCCUGCUUCGAUUGCUCGGAGCGUGACUAGUAGAAUUAUCAGGAUUGUGAGUGCGACGAUCUUCAUCCAACGUACCAGCCGGCGGCCUUGAGGAGAGGAGCUCGACGAGCGGGCAGGGUGAUCCCGUGCCUUGGAGACGGCGACCCUCAACCCCUUGCUGCUGUGGUGCACUGGGCACAUCUGUGACGAGGAGGAGGCGAGCCACAAUUCAUCACCUUCCUCGUCUCUCUCAUGGCUGUGCACAAGGAUGUCCGCACCCCGAGCCGAGCUCUGUUUGACCGGAGGACAAGCAGAGGAAAGGCGAACAGGGGUGAUGACAUGGCUCCUGAGCAAGGCCCCUUAUCUUGGGCCCCUACAAUAAGUAAACUCAACAUGCGUGAUUCUGAUUAGAGGCAACCGGAUCGUUAUUGAACAUAUUGAUGAUUCCUGUUGUGUAUUUGGGUGGUGCUCAAAAUGCAGAGCUGAAAAGCAAGAAACGUAAAGCCACCUCUGAAGAUAAGUUCACCAUGCCUCCCAGAGUGUCACCCCGCUUCGUUGAACUUAAUGGAAUAAGAUCAGAUCAGAAUAACCUUUGUAAACUAGGCAACUGAAUCAUUUCAUUGUUGCUUGUCCAUGUAACGAAGAACUAUCAUUUGGGUACCAAGUUCCACUUCAGGCCAGGAAAAUUUCUUAUAACUUCAAAACGGCAAGGGAUGCACCAUUGUCUUCAGGUCUGCCUUGCAGGUUGGAGUGCAGCUUUCAGAUAUCUUUCUUUCCUUGGGAUAGUUGGAAUGGAAUACUAUGACUAGAUAUACAAUGGUAUUGUUAUCAGUGUUCGGCCUUCAAUGAUUUCGGUGCAGCAUGUCUAGACCAUCAACGGCAAUUUGAGCUCCUUAGUGAAGUAGGUCUGUAAGGCGUUGCUUCAACUCAAGAAAAUCAAUGGCCACAAUUGGGAAGUUGACUGACAAUCCAAAGAGAGUGCCAAUUUUCAAUCUCGUGUUUAGGUGCUUACAUCAAUCUCGUGCAUAGUCUCGAUCACCACCACCGGGGCAGCUACUUCUGCUGGCAGGGGCUGGGCGCCGCCGUGAGGAUGCUAUCACCCAUGCACGCAGUGAUGGCAUGGUGGCCGAAGAAGGCCGUCUUCUGGGGAGCCGCGCGCUGGCCGCCAUCUCCACCCGCGGCCACACCAACAAGACAGGUGAUUUUAGGGUUGGUUCUGUCUGAAACCAAGCUAGCAGUAAUAUGCAGAGAAGGUUCGCCUGACAUAAUGACCAACGAGAGCAAGUUGUUUUUUCUUGAUGAAAAUGAUAGCUACCACUUGAUGAGAUUUAGCAAUACAAGCAUUUCCUCUAAUUUUAUUUGUCUGCAGGAGGUGCCUUUGAGAACUUGAUCAGCUACUCGAGCUUCAUUGUCAGCGAAGUCUCCACUGGGUUGCCCAGAUCUGUCCUGAAUUGCUUCAUUGAUGACAAUUUGGAGAAGGCUCCGCUGACACUUACAAAGGAUGUUUUCCUUUGUUGGAAAGACGAGGAUACGCUGGAGAUAGACAUGGGGUGGUAAGAAAAUGAUGAGUUCCUGAUGAUAUUAUGCUUGCUGGUCUAAACCUACAUGUAUUAUGUCAGUUUGUUGUUAAGAGUAUCUUGAAAAUAUAAAGCCACUGGGUGGCCAGGCAUUCUAUACUAUCGUCUUUCCAAGAGCCCACAUUUCUGCAUGUAUAUAUUUGUUGUACAGCCUAUGCUGGUUUGCCUACAAUAAUUAUCAGAAGGUAAUAUGCAGCAGCCAAAUUCUC
rnacentral:rRNA from 1 species